UGGUAGUNCACGCCCUAAACGAUGUCGAUUAGCUGUUGGGGCACUUGAUGCCUUAGUAGCGUAGCUAACGCGUGAAAUCGACCGCCUGGGGAGUACGGUCGCAAGAUUAAAACUCAAAGGAAUUGACGGGGACCCGCACAAGCGGUGGAUGAUGUGGAUUAAUUCGAUGCAACGCGAAGAACCUUACCUGGUCUUGACAUGUACGGAACCUUCCAGAGACGGAAGGGUGCCUUCGGGAGCCGUAACACAGGUGCUGCAUGGCUGUCGUCAGCUCGUGUCGUGAGAUGUUGGGUUAAGUCCCGCAACGAGCGCAACCCUUGUCAUUAGUUGCCAUCAUUCAGUUGGGCACUCUAAUGAGACUGCCGGUGACAAACCGGAGGAAGGUGGGGACGACGUCAAGUCCUCAUGGCCCUUAUGACCAGGGCUUCACACGUCAUACAAUGGUCGGUACAGAGGGUAGCCAAGCCGCGAGGCGGAGCCAAUCCCAGAAAACCGAUCGUAGUCCGGAUUGCACUCUGCAACUCGAGNGCAUGAAGUCGGAAUCGCUAGUAAUCGCAGGUCAGCAUACUGCGGUGAAUACGUUCCCGGGUCUUGUNC
rnacentral:rRNA from 1 species